AGUGAACGCUGGCGGUAGGCCUAACACAUGCAAGUCGAACGGCAGCACAGUAAGAGCUUGCUCUUACGGGUGGCGAGUGGCGGACGGGUGAGGAAUACAUCGGAAUCUACUUUUUCGUGGGGGAUAACGUAGGGAAACUUACGCUAAUACCGCAUACGACCUACGGGUGAAAGCAGGGGAUCUUCGGACCUUGCGCGAUUGAAUGAGCCGAUGUCGGAUUAGCUAGUUGGCGGGGUAAAGGCCCACCAAGGCGACGAUCCGUAGCUGGUCUGAGAGGAUGAGCGGCCCACGGGGAGCUGAAACAGGGUCCAAACCCCUAGGGGGGGCAGAAGGGGGGAAAUUUGAACAAGGGGGGAAAGCCUAAACCGGCCAACCCGCGUGGGGGAAGAAGGCCUUCGGGUUGUAAAGCCUUUUUGUGGGGAAAAAAAAGCAGCAGGUUAAAACCCCGUUUUUCGGGCGUUACCCAAAAAAUAAGCCCCGGCGAACUUGGU
rnacentral:rRNA from 1 species